GGGUUGUGAGGUUAAGCGACUAAGCGUACACGGUGGAUGCCCUGGCAGUCAGAGGCGAUGAAGGACGUGCUAAUCUGCGAAAAGCGCCGGCGAGGUGAUAUGAACCUUUGACCCGGCGAUGUCCGAAUGGGGAAACCCAGUGUGUUCCGACACACUAUCGUUAACUGAAUACAUAGGUUAACGAGGCGAACCGGGGGAACUGAAACAUCUAAGUACCCCGAGGAAAAGAAAUCAACCGAGAUUCCCCCAGUAGCGGCGAGCGAACGGGGAGCAGCCCAGAGUCUGAAUCAGCUUGUGUGUUAGUGGAAGCGUCUGGAAAGUCGCAGGGUACAGGGUGAUACUCCCGUACACGAAAGCACACUUGCUGUGAACUCGAAGAGUAGGGCGGGACACGUGGUAUCCUGUCUGAAUAUGGGGGGACCAUCCUCCAAGGCUAAAUACUCCUGACUGACCGAUAGUGAACCAGUACCGUGAGGGAAAGGCGAAAAGAACCCCGGCGAGGGGAGUGAAAAAGAACCUGAAACCGUGUACGUACAAGCAGUGGGAGCCUACUUGUUAGGUGACUGCGUACCUUUUGUAUAAUGGGUCAGCGACUUAUAUUCUGUAGCAAGGUUAACCGUAUAGGGGAGCCGAAGGGAAACCGAGUCUUAACUGGGCGUUAAGUUGCAGGGUAUAGACCCGAAACCCGGUGAUCUAGCCAUGGGCAGGUUGAAGGUUGGGUAACACUAACUGGAGGACCGAACCGACUAAUGUUGAAAAAUUAGCGGAUGACUUGUGGCUGGGGGUGAAAGGCCAAUCAAACCGGGAGAUAGCUGGUUCUCCCCGAAAGCUAUUUAGGUAGCGCCUCGUGAACUCAUCUUCGGGGGUAGAGCACUGUUUCGGCUAGGGGGCCAUCCCGGCUUACCAACCCGAUGCAAACUACGAAUACCGAAGAAUGUUAUCACGGGAGACACACGGCGGGUGCUAACGUCCGUCGUGAAGAGGGAAACAACCCAGACCGCCAGCUAAGGUCCCAAAGUCAUGGUUAAGUGGGAAACGAUGUGGGAAGGCACAGACAGCCAGGAUGUUGGCUUAGAAGCAGCCAUCAUUUAAAGAAAGCGUAAUAGCUCACUGGUCGAGUCGGCCUGCGCGGAAGAUGUAACGGGGCUAAACCAUGCACCGAAGCUGCGGCAGCGACGCUUAGGUGUUGUUGGGUAGGGGAGCGUUCUGUAAGCCGUUGAAGGUGUGCUGUGAGGCAUGCUGGAG
rnacentral:rRNA from 1 species